CCUACGGGAGGCAGCAGUGGGGAAUAUUGCACAAUGGGGGAAACCCUGAUGCAGCGACGCCGCGUGGGUGACGAAGGAUUUCGGGAUGUAAAGCCCUAUCAGCAGGGAAGAAGAUGACAGUACCUGACGAAGAAGCCACGGCUAACUACGUGCCAGCAGCCGCGGUAAUACGUAGGGGGCAAGCGUUAUCCGGAUUUACUGGGUGUCAAGGGAGCGUAGGUGGCCUGGCAAGCCAGAAGUGAAAACCCGGGGCUUAACCCCUCGGAUUGCUUUUGAAACUGGCAGGCUGGAGUGCAGGAGGCGCAGGCGGAAUUCCUGGUGUAGCCGUGAAAUGCGUAGAUAUCAGGAGGAACACCGGUGGCGAAGGCGGCCUGCUGGACUGUAACUGACACUGAGGCUCGAAAGCGUGGGGAGCAAACAGGCUUAGAUACCCCGGUAGUC
rnacentral:rRNA from 1 species